rnacentral:rRNA from 1 species
AUUGAACGCUGGCGGCAUGCCUUACACAUGCAAGUCGAACGGUAACAGGUCUUCGGAUGCUGACGAGUGGCGAACGGGUGAGUAAUACAUCGGAACGUGCCCGAUCGUGGGGGAUAACGGAGCGAAAGCUUUGCUAAUACCGCAUACGAUCUACGGAUGAAAGCAGGGGACCGCAAGGCCUUGCGCGGACGGAGCGGCCGAUGGCAGAUUAGGUAGUUGGUGGGAUAAAAGCUUACCAAGCCGACGAUCUGUAGCUGGUCUGAGAGGACGACCAGCCACACUGGGACUGAGACACGGCCCAGACUCCUACGGGAGGCAGCAGUGGGGAAUUUUGGACAAUGGGCGAAAGCCUGAUCCAGCCAUGCCGCGUGCAGGAUGAAGGCCUUCGGGUUGUAAACUGCUUUUGUACGGAACGAAAAGACUCUUUCCAAUAAAGAGGGUCCAUGACGGUACCGUAAGAAUAAGCACCGGCUAACUACGUG